rnacentral:rRNA from 1 species
AGUCAAGUAAUUAAGUGCAUGUGGUGGAUGCCUUGGCAGUCAGAGGCGAUGAAAGACGUGAUAGCCUGCGAAAAGCUCCGGGGAGGCGGCAAAUAUCCUUUGAUCCGGAGAUUUCUGAAUGGGGGAACCCACCUACUUUAAGGUAGGUAUUGCAACAUGAAUACAUAGUGUUGCAAGGCGAACGAGGGGAAGUGAAACAUCUCAGUACCCUUAGGAAAAGAAAUCAAUUGAGAUUCCCUCAGUAGCGGCGAGCGAACGGGGAUCAGCCCAUUAAGUUAUGUGUGUUUUAGUGGAACGCUCUGGGAAGUGCGAACGUAGAGGGUGAUAUUCCCGUACACGAAAGGGCACACAUAAUGAUGACGAGUAGGGCGAGGCACGUGAAACCUUGUCUGAAUAUGGGGGGACCAUCCUCCAAGGCUAAAUACUCCUGACUGACCGAUAGUGAACCAGUACCGUGAGGGAAAGGCGAAAAGAACCCCUGUGAGGGGAGUGAAAUAGAUCCUGAAACCGCAUGCAUACAAGCAGUGGGAGCACCUUCGUGGUGUGACUGCGUACCUUUUGUAUAAUGGGUCAGCGACUUAUAUUCAGUAGCAAGGUUAACCGUAUAGGGGAGCCGUAGAGAAAUCGAGUCUUAAUAGGGCGUUUAGUUGCUGGGUAUAGACCCGAAACCAGGCGAUCUAUCCAUGAGCAGGUUGAAGGUUGGGUAACACUAACUGGAGGACCGAACCCACUGUCGUUGAAAAGCCAGGGGAUGACUUGUGGAUAGGGGUGAAAGGCUAAUCAAGCCUGGUGAUAGCUGGUUCUCCCCGAAAGCUAUUUAGGUAGCGCCUCGGACGAAUACCAUAGGGGGUAGAGCACUGUUUCGGCUAGGGGGUCAUCCCGACUUACCAAACCGAUGCAAACUCCGAAUACCUAUGAGUACUAUCCGGGAGACAGACUGCGGGUGCUAACGUCCGUAGUCAAGAGGAAAACAAUCCAGACCGCCAGCUAAGGCCCCAAAAUCAUAGUUAAGUGGGAAACGAUGUGGGAAGGCAUAGACAGCUAGGAGGUUGGCUUAGAAGCAGCCACCCUUUAAAGAAAGCGUAAUAGCUCACUAGUCGAGUCGGCCUGCGCGGAAGAUGUAACGGGGCUAAAACUAUGUGCCGAAGCUGCGGAUGUAUACUUUGUAUACGUGGUAGGGGAGCGUUCUGUAAGCCGAUGAAGGUGUGUUGAGAAGCAUGCUGGAGGUAUCAGAAGUGCGAAUGCUGACGUGAGUAACGACAAAACGGGUGAAAAACCCGUUCGCCGAAAGACCAAGGGUUCCAGUCCAACGUUAAUCGGGGCUGGGUGAGUCGACCCCUAAGGCGAGGCCGAAAGGCGUAGUCGAUGGGAAAAUGGUUAAUAUUCCAUUACUUCUGUGUAAUGCGAUGAGAGGACGGAGAAGGCUAAAUCAGCCUGGCGUUGGUUGUCCAGGUGAAAGGAUGUAGGCAUGUAUCUUAGGCAAAUCCGGGGUACUCUAUGCUGAGAUCUGAUAGCAAGCUGUACUUGUACAGCGAAGUGGUUGAUGCCAUGCUUCCAGGAAAAGUCUCUAAGCUUCAGUUACACAGGAAUCGUACCCGAAACCGACACAGGUGGUCAGGUCGAGUAGACCAAGGCGCUUGAGAGAACUCUGCUGAAGGAACUAGGCAAAAUGGUACCGUAACUUCGGGAGAAGGUACGCUGUUGUUGGUGAUGGAACUUGCUUCCUGAGCUGACGACAGCCGCAGAAACCAGGCCGCUGCAACUGUUUAUUAAAAACAUAGCACUCUGCAAACACGAAAGUGGACGUAUAGGGUGUGAUGCCUGCCCGGUGCUGGAAGGUUAAUUGAUGGGGUUAGCGUAAGCGAAGCUCUUGAUCGAAGCCCCAGUAAACGGCGGCCGUAACUAUAACGGUCCUAAGGUAGCGAAAUUCCUUGUCGGGUAAGUUCCGACCUGCACGAAUGGCAUAAUGAUGGCGGCGCUGUCUCCAGCAGAGGCUCAGUGAAAUCGAAAUCGCUGUGAAGAUGCAGUGUACCCGCGGCUAGACGGAAAGACCCCGUGAACCUUUACUGCAGCUUGACACUGAACUUUGACCUUACUUGUGUAGGAUAGGUGGGAGGCUUUGAAGCUGGAACGCUAGUUCCAGUGGAGCCGUCCUUGAAAUACCACCCUGGUAAUGUUGAGGUUCUAACUCUGUCCCGUGAUCCGGGACGAGGACCGUGUCUGGUGGGUAGUUUGACUGGGGCGGUCUCCUCCUAAAGAGUAACGGAGGAGUACGAAGGUGCGCUCAGCGUGGUCGGAAAUCACGCGUAGAGUAUAAAGGCAAAAGCGCGCUUAACUGCGAGACCCACAAGUCGAGCAGGUACGAAAGUAGGUCUUAGUGAUCCGGUGGUUCUGUAUGGAAGGGCCAUCGCUCAACGGAUAAAAGGUACUCUGGGGAUAACAGGCUGAUACCGCCCAAGAGUUCAUAUCGACGGCGGUGUUUGGCACCUCGAUGUCGGCUCAUCUCAUCCUGGGGCUGAAGCAGGUCCCAAGGGUAUGGCUGUUCGCCAUUUAAAGAGGUACGCGAGCUGGGUUUAGAACGUCGUGAGACAGUUCGGUCCCUAUCUACCGUGGGCGCUGGAAAUUUGAGAGGAUCUGCUCCUAGUACGAGAGGACCAGAGUGGACGAACCUCUGGUGUACCGGUUGUGACGCCAGUCGCAUCGCCGGGUAGCUAUGUUCGGAAGGGAUAACCGCUGAAAGCAUCUAAGCGGGAAGCCUACCUCAAGAUAAGAUUUCCCUAGGACUUUAUGUCCUCUAAAGAGCCGUUCGAGACUAGGACGUUGAUAGGUUGGAUGUGGAAGCAUAGUGAUAUGUGAAGCUGACCAAUACUAAUUGCUCGUGAGGCUUGACUAU